rnacentral:rRNA from 1 species
AACGAACGCUGGCGGCAUGCCUAACACAUGCAAGUCGAACGAGACCUUCGGGUCUAGUGGCGCACGGGUGCGUAACGCGUGGGAACCUGCCUUUAGGUUCGGAAUAACUCAGAGAAAUUUGAGCUAAUACCGGAUAAUGUCUUCGGACCAAAGAUUUAUCGCCUUUAGAUGGGCCCGCGUUGGAUUAGCUAGUUGGUGGGGUAAAGGCCUACCAAGGCGACGAUCCAUAGCUGGUCUGAGAGGAUGAUCAGCCACACUGGGACUGAGACACGGCCCAGACUCCUACGGGAGGCAGCAGUGGGGAAUAUUGGACAAUGGGCGAAAGCCUGAUCCAGCAAUGCCGCGUGAGUGAUGAAGGCCUUAGGGUUGUAAAGCUCUUUUACCCGAGAUGAUAAUGACAGUAUCGGGAGAAUAAGCUCCGGCUAACUCCGUGCCAGCAGCCGCGGUAAU